CAACAUGCCUUGGGGUUCAGUGUUGUCUCGUUUUGGUGACUGCUUUGAUAGCUUGCUAUGUCUGUGGUUAAUCAGGGCGAUUGAUGAUGUUGAUAACUUCUGCUGUUCGGGACUCUGGCGAAAUGGAGCGAUACGACCCGUCUUGAAACACGGACCAAGGAGUCUAACAUGUGUGCAAGUAUUAGGGCGUGGAAACCCAAAUGCGUAAUGAAAGUAAAUGCUACUUAUGUAGCUGUGGUAGGAAAGGGCUGUAAUGGUCCUGGCACUAUCGACCGAUCAUGAGCCUACGGGCGAAAGAUUUGAGUAUGAGCAUAUAUGUUGGUACCCGAAAGAUGGUGAACUAUGCCUGAAUAGGGUGAAGCCAGGGGAAACUCUGGUGGAAGCUCGUAGCGAUUCUGACGUGCAAAUCGAUCGUCAAAUUUGGGUAUAGGGGCGAAAGACUAAUCGAACCAUCUAGUAGCUGGUUCCCUCCGAAAUUUCCCUCAGGAUAGCAGCAACUUUACGAUAGUUUUAUGAGGUAAAGCGAAUGAUUAGAGGCCUCGGGGAAGAAACUUCCUCGACCUAUUCUCAAACUUUAAAUGGGUAAGACCUGUGGGUUUCUUAAUUGAACCUGUGGACGUGAAUAUCCAAGUUGCUAGUGGGCCAUACCGGGUAAGCUGGUCUGGCGAUGCGGGAUGAUCCGAACGCAGAGUUAAAGUGCCAAAGUACCCGCUCACCUAGAUACCAUAAAAGGUGUUGGUUCAUCUAG
rnacentral:rRNA from 1 species